rnacentral:tRNA from 1 species
GCCCGGGUGAUGAAAUGGCAACCAUGCGCGACUCAAAAUCGCGUGGCCUCACGGCCUUGUGGGUUCAAGUCCCACCCCGGGCA